GGUGUUCUCCAAGGCUCUAUUUUAGGGCCAGUUCUCUUCAAUAUUUUAUAAAUUAUCUGGACGCAAGACUCAAUCCAUACUAAGUAAGUUUGCAGAUAGUACUUGUUUAGGAGAUACUGCUGACUUCUUCAAAAGUAGAGUGACCUUGGAGAGAGAUCUUGACAAAUUAGAGAACUGCUGAAUUACUGACCUCUGUGGCUUGGUUCUUGAAGAUGGGAGCAACAUUAUCUAUUUGAUUUCUCACCAGUUCCUGAAACUCUCCAGGCUAAAAGGGGACAUUUGCACAGCCUCCUACAACUGUUGCUAAGGGGUACAGCUUCGUUGUGUGCUGGGAGGGAUAGACACUUCCUCUCUCUCCUCUUCAGUCUGCUGUUGCGGAAACCAAGAGCACACUGAUGUGCUUGAUGACACCAAGGUGAUGAGCAGAGACACUGCCUCACUGGGGGAAUCCUCAGCCCUCCCAAAAAGGGAGGAUUAGAGAAGAAGUGUGUCCAUGCACUCCUGAGUAAGAUGAAUCUUCACCAAUUUCGUCAGGUGCAGUGGUGGAAGAUGAUCGUGCAGGGCCGUGGUAAUUGCCCUGGAUUCCUGAGCCGCCCUCGCCAGGGCCAGAACCGAGGAGUGCGGAGAGGCCGGAGUUUGCCUGCCUGCCUGGAAUGUGACCGAAGCUGAAAGCUGACACCAGCUCAGUGGAAAAAGGCUUGCGAGCAAAGGCUGUCUCCAAGACAACUGAGUAUUUUCCCUGUGAUGCAUUUACACUGUGAGGUUAAAGUUCUGUGAAAGCAACAGCUGCUGUAAAAACAUGGUAUUAAAUAUGCUUAGAGCUGUAAAAUGCAUGCUCCUCGUGUUGCACUGCGCUCGAGAGAAAUGUGGAAACCAGUGGCAGAAGCAGUGGCAAAUGGAGCUUGCUUGUCCUGGUAUCACUCAUACAUGUGGCCCAGCUCCCACAGUUCGGGCUCAGCAACACUAAUUUUUUUCUAUCACCAGAGAGCAAAUAUCCCGCAACUCUCUCCUAUUAUGGACUUUGUUAACUGCUGGGAAGGAUCCUUCCACACAGUUAGCACAGCUACCACAUGCCCAGUGAGCUUCUUCAGAUCGAUCUUCCAGAAGAGAAGAAAAAGAGAAAGAAAAAAAAAAAAAGCCAGGAAGACUACCAGGCAUAAACUUCAAUUGUCUCCACCCUCCUCAACCAAAACUCCUUUCCACCUCUCUUCAACUUUUCAGUGUGGCAGAUGGCAACAGAGGAGCAGUGUGACAAACGGCAUCUGACAUGGAAGCGAGUAUGAAGCAAACGUGCGUCAUUGAAUUCCUCCUUGAGGAAAAAAAUGGCACCUAUUGACAUCCAUCAACACUUGCUGAACAUUUAAGGAGACCAGACAGUGGAUGUGAGGGCAGUGAGGCAAUGGGCGAUGCGUUUCAGCAGUGGUAGCAGCAACAUGAAAGACAAGCCAUGUUCUGGGUGGCCAUGCACAGCUGUAAUGUCAUGAAUUGAAGAGUCUCUUUAUUAUCUCAUUGAAGUCAAUUGGUGGACUGUGAUCAGGGAGCUGUGUAUGGAGCUGAAUAUCAGCUUCAAUGCAUUGGAAAUAAUGGUGGUAAGAUUGAAAUAUCUCAAAGAUUGUGCCAGAUAUGUCCUGUGAAUGCCCACACAGGAAGAGAAAGAACACCAUGUGCAAGUUUGUCAGGACCUGUUGAGGCUGAAUAUGAGGAUGAAGUGACUGCUUCCUGGAUCACAUCAUUACCAGUGACAAGAUGUGGUAUCACCACUAUGAGCUGAAGUCAAAAUGGCAGCCCAUGGAGUGGUGACAUCUGAACUCCCCAUUGAAGAAAAAGAUCAAGACACAGCCCUUAGAGGAUAAAGUGCACAGUUUUUUAGGACAGGAAAUGGGUGUUCCUCCUAGAUUUCCUGGAACAUGAGAAACCAUCAGCUCUGACGACUACGUGACAACACUGACUAAGCUGAAGGCUUGAACUUCUGCAGACAGGCCAGAGAAGAAGACAGUCUUUCUCUUGCAACAUGAUAUGGCCAGAACCACACCUGUUUGAAGACCAUGGAGCACACUGCCAAUCUUGGCUGGGCUGUCCUACCAUGUAAUCUGGAUUUGGCUCCUUCUCAGUUCCAUCUGUUCAGGCCAAUGAAAGAUGGACUGCAGGCAGUAUUUUCCUGGUCAUGACAGUGUCACGGAAGCUACAGAAGUAAAACAGUGGGUCACUUCCACUGGUGUAGAUUUGUAUGAACAUAGCAUAGUGUGCGAGCUCUUGUUUAUCACUGGCAAACAAACAAACAAACAAAACAAACAAAAAAACAAAAAAGCAUAGUAAGUGGUGGCAGUGAUGUUGAAAAACAGCAUUUUGUAGCUGAGAAUUUGCUCUUCCAAAUAGUGUUAUUGUGUUCUUUGUACCUGUCAUAGUCCCCAUGGAAAUGAAUAGGAGACAUUACUUUCAGAGCUACAUACAUCUGUUGUUAAAAACUGCUAUUAUGUCUUCUUGGUAUGUUCAGUUUUAGUUAAAAAAUCAUUUAUUUGCAUUUUCUAUUCACAGCAUGUUUUUUCUCCCUUCAAAUUCUCACCUCCAUUCUCUUGAGUCUCCAGUGGAUCCUCUCUGUGAAGUGCCACAUUCAAACCUGUUACAGACUUCAAGAAACUUUAGCAGAGCUUGAUGGAACUAAGUUACUAUUUAAUAUGAUUUUCAGGCAAUAUUUCCAUUUAUAAAGGUCAAAAGGAUGAUUGAUAUUUUGAUGAUGGUAUGAUGUUAUAGGCUCUUGUUUAGUUUGCAUUCAAUCAUAUUUCCUCUCUCUCUUUCUGGACUCCUAAAGAUGAAGAGGAUAUUGUGUUUAUCUUUACGAAAAUCACAGAAUCACAGAAUGGCUUGGCUUGGAAGGGACAUCAAGGAUCAUGAAUCUCCAACCCCCCUGACGGGCAGGGCCAUCAACCUCCCCAUUUACUAGACCAGGUUGGCCAGGGCUCCAUCCAACCUGGCCUUGAACACCUCCAGGGACGGGGCAUCUACAACCUCUCUGGGCAGCCCAUUCCAGCACCUCACCACUCUCCUUGUAAAGAACUUCCCCCUAACAUCCAACCUAAAUCUUCCCUCUUUCAACUUAAAACCGUUCCCCCUUGUCCUGCUAUUAUCUACAAAAUCUAUCAUAUCUAUCUAAAAACAUUCACCAGUUUGCUAUAAUCCAUUUAUAUUCUACUUUGUUGUACAAUAAACAUCUCCUAUGCCUCAGCUUCAUGUCAUCCUUGUGUUUAAUGUGCAUAUUCUCUAACCCAUCUUCCAAGACAUUAAGAAAAAUCAAUAAGCUCAGGUAAAAAAAAAAAAAAAAAAAAAAAAAAAAAAGAAUAACAUGAGAUGCAAAAUAGUCCUAUAGAAUCUUACACCCCACAUUCAUAGAGUCUGACUGUGAUUACUAGUGAUGACUACUUGAGUACUACUUUCUACCAAUCAUGCCAGUUUCAUCUUAAGUGCCUUUCACCAGCUUGCUUAAAAUAAUGCAGUGAGAGGCAUGCUACCUUCUAGGAUCCAGAUAUAAUAUUACUGGCUCUCUUCUAUCCACAAAGUUUAAAAUGAAUAAAACUGAGUGGAUACAAAUUGCUUUGUAUAUAACAAAUCCAGGUUGGCUUUUAAUUAUACCCUCUUUUUCUUAUUGAUCCUUAAAAUUUAUUAGUUUUGUAUCAGUGACCUGCAAUUCCACAGCUUUUUCUAUCCCCUUCCCAUUUUCAAACAGUUUGUCUUGUUUUGGUGUCUGAAGUUUCAUUUACUCUUUGAGUGAUAAUGGCUAGAGGUCCAGUCUGAAAGGAAUCUUUAAGUACUGUAGGAGUAAUAACUUGUAGCCUUGCAAAUAUCUAACUGCUUAAACCACUAUAGCAAGCUGUAUUUCCCUGCUCUGGCUUGACUUCUUGCCCUUUACUUACCAAUAUAACCUGAACUAAGCCUGCAUGUAAGACAUGCAUUUUUUAAGGAAACUGAAACUACAGAGGGAAUCAAUACAGAGGGAAUUUUCCCCAUCACCUAAAAAAAAUCAGCAGUGCAUCAAGGCCAUCCUUGGUAUUCUUUUGCACUUGUAGAAUGAUUUCUUUACAACUUUUAUUUAUCUCUCAACAUAAACACUAGAGUUUCUGAUUUUAGUCGGCCACCUCUGUGCUGUUCCUCCAUGCUGUAAUUACUUGAGACAAUUUACUUUUUUUUCUUCCCCACACUCCUCCUUGUGUUAGAGGAUUAAAAUUUUGCAGUUCAGCCAUACUGAUCCUAUUCCUCUUUCCAGCCUAUCUGCUCAUCAAGAUAGUUUGAUAAUAAGACUAAUUGUAUCAGUCUUUAAACAUAACAUCUUCCAGGACAAAUUGUGUGUAUUAUUCAGACUAAUAUCACAUUACAAAGCUAAGAGGUCUAGAAUCAAAACCUAUUGAUUUACAAAUACUUUACAUGCUACAAACAAAUAAAAACAAAACAAAUAAAGCAAACAACAACAACAAACAAAAACAAGAGCAACAACAACAAAGGAGUAUUUUCCUUUCAUGUUUAUUUUGGCUCUGAGAGAAGGCAGAUAAGGUAGAUAGGGAUUCUGUGUAUGACGGUAAUUCAUAAGCCACCCUGAGGUCCCUGGUUGCAUUUAUACUUCACAACCGAUACCAAUAAAAGUUGUGAAUAACUGACUUUUCUGGGGAAUUAAACUCCAAUUAAUGAUUAUCUAAGUCUUUUUAAACACUAUUGUGUGUGCUGACAAUGUUAACUGUAUUUUCCCAGUCACCAUUUUCAAAACUUUUUGACAACAACAUGUAAAAAUAAAUCCUUUAAAU
ensembl:lncRNA